UGGGGGCGGCGGCGGCGUGCGCGGGGCUCGGGCUGCUCCGGCACCGCGGCGCGCUCAGCCCUGCGCAGCUCCGCCCGCGGCUCGCACGGCUCGGCUCGGCUCGGCACGGCCAGCCCAGCCUCCCCGGGACCCCCUAAGCCUCCUUGGCUGGGGCCACGCUGGAGCCCCCCGCCGCGCAGCGGAGCCGAGCCGCGAGUUGGCUGCGGAGGUCCUGCAAGCUCUCUGAGUGCCAAGCAGUGCAUUAUGGGCUGGAUUGCCACCAAUUCACCAUGAAGAUUGGCUUCACUUUUGCCCUCCCAAGGAUCACGUACUUUAUGAAUUCACUUUCUCUUCCACCUCACUGCCACCUCUGUCAAUAUUGUCAUCGCUUCUAGGAAACCAGAAUCUGAGGCUGGGCUUUAUCCCGGCCUUUCCUCCCUCCCAGGAACAACCAGUGUCACCUUUGUGUUCUACCAAAACAAACCACUGGGGGUUAUUUUGCCCUUCAUGAAAGUACAUCAGCUGGAGAAGUAACUUCAUAUACACUAUACUUCUGAGAUAAAGGCCUCUGGAUCCUAAAGGAUAAUUGAGAUCUUUGCUUGAAGAGGAGAGAUUUGUUCUCAGUCACGUGCCCUUGCUAUCUCUCUUUCCACCUGCUCUCCCUCCCUCUGUCAAUCUGUGCUCUCCUUCUCUUCUGUUGGAUUUAACAGAUUCAGUGUUGACUGCUGGGGUUCUCCUCACAGUAGCGUGGCUUUUGUUUUUCUACUAGUGAAGAGCAGAUUCUUGAAACAAUGGGCUUCACUCUCCACUCCGUCUACUUCACCUUAAAGGUGAGUUUGCUGCUGGGCUCCUUGCUGGGUCUCUGUUUGGGUCUGGAGUUCAUGGGCAUCCCCAACCAGUGGGCCCGCUACCUCCGCUGGGAUGCCAGCACCAGGAGUGAACUCAGCUUCCAGUUCAAGACCAACGUCUCCGCUGGGCUGCUCCUCUACUUUGACGACGGUGGUGUCUGUGACUUCCUCUGUCUGUCCCUUGUCGAUGGGCGCAUCCAGCUGCAGUUCAGUGUGGACUGUGCAGAGACUACAGUUAUCACAGACAAGCAGGUCAACGACAGCAACUGGCACUUCCUGAUGGUCAGCCGCAAUCACCUGCGGACAGUGCUAGUGCUGGAUGGUGAAGCCAAGCCAGGCGAGGUGCGUCCCCAGCGCCAGUAUAUGAAUAUCGUCAGCGACCUUUUUGUGGGUGGGGUCCCAUUGGACAUCCGUCCUGCUGCCUUGACCCUUGAUGGCGUUCUGAGUGAGCCUCCGUUUCAAGGAUUUAUCCUGGAUCUGAAAUACGGCAACUCUGAGCCGCAGCUCCUGGGCAGUCAAGGGGUCCGACUGGAAAUGGAAGGGCUCUGCGCAGAAAACCCCUGUGAAAAUGGUGGCACUUGCUUUCUUCUGGAUGGCGAGCCACACUGUGACUGCUCAGCCACUGGGUACGCUGGCAAACUGUGUUCUGAAGAUGUCAAUCAUAUUCCAGGCCUCUCACACCUGAUGAUGGGUGAACAAGGUAGAAGUAAAGCGCGAGAUGAGAACAUGGCCACUUUCCGUGGUUCCGAAUACCUUUGCUAUGACCUGUCUCAAAACCCUAUCCAGAGCAGCAGUGAUGAGAUCACUCUCUCCUUCAAGACGUGGCAACGCAACGGGCUCAUUCUCCACACCGGCAAGUCUGCUGAUUAUGUCAACUUGGCCCUGAAAGAUGGCGCGGUCUCGCUGGUCAUUAACCUGGGGUCUGGGGCCUUCGAGGCCAUUGUGGAGCCUGUCAAUGGCAAAUUCAAUGACAACGCAUGGCACGACGUUAAGGUGACGCGCAACUUGCGGCAGCACUCAGGCAUUGGACACGCUAUGGUAAACAAACUACAUUGUCUGGUGACCAUCUCUGUGGAUGGCAUCCUUACCACCACGGGCUAUACACAGGAGGACUACACCAUGCUGGGCUCAGAUGACUUCUUCUACGUGGGAGGGAGCCCCAGUACUGCUGACUUACCUGGCUCUCCAGUAAGCAACAACUUCAUGGGUUGCCUCAAAGAGGUUGUUUAUAAGAAUAAUGAUAUUCGUCUGGAGCUGUCUCGCCUGGCACGGAUUGGUGAUACUAAGAUGAAGAUCUAUGGGGAAGUGAAGUUUGUAUGUGAGAAUGUGGCUACACUGGAUCCCAUCAGCUUUGAGACACCUGAGGCCUAUAUUAGUCUGCCCAAAUGGAAUACCAAAAGGAUGGGCUCCAUCUCGUUUGAUUUCCGAACCACUGAACCCAAUGGGCUGAUACUUUUCACCCAUGGCAAGCCUCAGGAGAGGAAAGAUGCCAGGAGCCAGAAAAAUACAAAGGUAGACUUCUUUGCAGUUGAACUUCUAGAUGGGAACCUCUACUUGUUGCUGGACAUGGGCUCUGGGACCAUUAAAGUCAAGGCCACGCAGAAGAAAGCCAAUGAUGGAGAGUGGUAUCACGUGGAUAUUCAACGAGAUGGAAGAUCAGGUACUAUAUCGGUGAACAGCAGACGCACCCCAUUCACUGCAAGUGGGGAGAGUGAGAUCCUAGAUCUGGAAGGCGACAUGUACCUGGGUGGGCUGCCAGAGAACCGGGCAGGGCUCAUCCUUCCCACAGAGCUCUGGACAGCAAUGCUGAACUAUGGCUACGUCGGCUGUAUCCGAGACCUGUUCAUCGAUGGACGAAGCAAGAACAUCCGGCAGCUGGCAGAGGCACAGAACGCAGCAGGAGUUAAGUCCUCCUGCUCCCGCCUGAGCACCAAGCAAUGCGAUAGCUACCCGUGUAAGAACAAUGCAGUCUGCAAGGAUGGCUGGAACCGCUUCAUCUGUGACUGCACUGGCACUGGCUAUUGGGGUAGAACGUGUGAGCGAGAGGCCUCUAUCUUGAGCUAUGAUGGCAGCAUGUACAUGAAGAUCAUCAUGCCUAUGGUCAUGCAUACAGAAGCAGAAGAUGUGUCCUUCCGUUUCAUGUCACAGCGUGCCUAUGGGCUGUUGAUGGCAACCACCUCACGAGAUUCUGCUGAUACUCUGCGCCUGGAGCUGGACGGAGGCCGUGUCAAACUCAUGGUCAAUUUAGACUGUAUCAGGAUAAACUGUAACGCCAGCAAGGGACCUGAAACUCUUUAUGCUGGGCAGAAACUCAAUGACAACGAGUGGCACACUGUUCGAGUUGUUCGGCGUGGAAAGAGCCUCAAGCUGAUGGUGGAUGACGAUGUUGCUGAGGGCACAAUGGUUGGUGAUCACACCCGUUUGGAGUUCCACAACAUUGAGACAGGGAUCAUGACGGAGAAACGUUAUAUCUCUGUCAUCCCUUCUAGCUUCAUCGGCCAUCUCCAAAGCCUCAUGUUCAAUGGGAUGCUCUACAUUGACCUCUGCAAGAAUGGUGACAUUGACUAUUGUGAGCUAAAGGCACGCUUUGGUCUCCGCAACAUUAUAGCUGACCCUGUGACAUUCAAGACUAAGAGCAGCUACCUGAGCUUGGCCACCUUGCAGGCUUACACAUCCAUGCACCUCUUCUUUCAGUUCAAGACCACUUCAGCUGAUGGUUUCAUCCUCUUUAACAGUGGUGAUGGAAAUGACUUCAUUGCAGUUGAACUAGUCAAGGGGUAUAUACAUUAUGUCUUUGACCUUGGAAAUGGACCUAACGUUAUCAAAGGCAACAGUGACCGUGCUCUCAAUGACAACCAAUGGCACAAUGUUGUCAUCACCAGAGAUAACAGUAAUACACACAGCCUAAAAGUGGACACUAAGGUGGUCACUCAGGUUAUCAACGGUGCCAAAAAUCUGGAUCUUAAAGGUGAUCUCUACAUUGCUGGCCUAGCUCAAGGCAUGUAUAGCAACCUCCCAAAGCUAGUGGCCUCACGUGAUGGAUUUCAGGGCUGUCUAGCAUCUGUGGACUUGAAUGGGCGUCUGCCUGAUCUAAUCAAUGACGCUUUGCACCGCAGUGGGCAGAUUGAGCGUGGAUGUGAAGUUGAGUUGACCAAAGCUGACCUGCAAGGACCAAGUACUACCUGCCAGGAAGAUUCCUGUGCAAAUCAGGGCAUCUGUAAUCAGCAGUGGGAAGGUUUUACCUGUGAUUGCUCCAUGACUUCGUAUUCUGGAAGCCAGUGCAACGACCCUGGUGCCACAUAUAUAUUUGGGAAGAGUGGAGGUCUCAUCUUGUAUACCUGGCCAGCUAAUGACAGACCAAGCACAAGGACAGACCGUCUUGCUGUGGGCUUCAGCACAACAGUGAAGGAUGGCAUUCUUGUGAGGAUUGACAGUGCCCCUGGGCUCGGUGACUUUCUGCAACUGCACAUAGAGCAAGGCAAGAUCGGUGUGGUCUUCAAUAUUGGUACAGUGGACAUCUCUAUUAAAGAGGAAAGCACACCUGUAAAUGAUGGCAAAUACCAUGUGGUGCGCUUUACCAGGAACGGGGGCAAUGCCACUCUUCAGGUUGACAGCUGGCCAGUGAAUGAACACUACCCAACAGGCAACACUGAUAGUGAACGGUUCCAAAUGGUAAAACAGAAAAUCCCCUUCAAAUAUAACCGGCCCGUAGAGGAGUGGCUGCAGGAAAAAGAUGAUGCAACACCGCAUCACCACUUGACUUCGAGACCUGCCACGACGACCACCAAAAUUGGACGACAGUUAACGAUCUUCAACACCCAGGCGCAAAUAGCCAUAGGAGGGAAGGACAGAGGGCGUCUCUUCCAAGGCCAGCUCUCCGGUCUCUAUUACAAUGGCUUGAAAGUACUGAACAUGGCAGCAGAGAACAACCCCAACAUUAAAAUCAAUGGAAGUGUCCGACUAGUUGGGGAAGUCCCUUCCAUCUUGGGAACAACACCCACAACCUCCGUACCACCAGAAAUGUCUACUACAGUCAUGGAAACCACAACUACAAUGGCCACCACUACAACCCGAAAAAAUCGUUCACCACCCAGCAUCCAGACAACAGAUGACAUUGUUUCAUCAGCUGAAUGUUCCAGCGAUGAUGAAGACUUCAUUGACUGUGAACCCAGUACAGGUAAGUCAGGAGGUGAAUUAGUUAUCCCUCUACUUGUAGAAGACCCUUUAGAUAUCCCUCCUAUUGCUACUCGUGCACCUUUCAUUACACUUCCCCCUACCUUUCGCCCCCUCCUCACCAUUAUUGAGACCACCAAAGAUUCCCUGUCCAUGACCUCUGAGGCGGGGUUACCUUGCUUGUCGGACCAAGGCAGCGAUGGUUGUGAUGAUGAUGGCUUGGUGAUAUCUGGGUAUGGCUCAGGGGAAACCUUUGACUCUAACCUACCCCCUACUGAUGAUGAAGAUUUUUACACCACCUUCUCCUUGGUAACAGAUAAGAGUCUUUCCACUUCAAUCUUCGAAGGUGGCUACAAAGCACACGCACCCAAGUGGGAAUCCAAGGACUUUAGACCUAACAAAGUCUCCGAAACUGGUAGGACUACUACCACGUCUUUGUCCCCUGAGCUGAUCCGCUCCACAGCUUCGUCCUCGACUGGGAUGGUGCCCAAAUUGCCAGCCGGCAAAAUGAAUAACCGUGAGCUCAAACCCCAGCCUGACAUAGUCUUGCUUCCGUUGCCCACUGCCUAUGAGCUAGACAGCACAAAGCUGAAGAGCCCGCUAAUCACUUCCCCCAUGUUCCGUAAUGUGCCCACAGCAAACCCCACGGAGCCGGGAAUCAGACGGGUUCCGGGGGCCUCAGAGGUGGUCCGUGAGUCGAGCAGCACAACGGGGAUGGUCGUCGGCAUUGUGGCUGCUGCUGCCCUCUGCAUCCUCAUCCUCCUGUACGCCAUGUACAAGUACAGGAACAGGGACGAGGGGUCCUAUCAGGUGGACGAGACGCGGAACUACAUCAGCAACUCAGCCCAGAGCAACGGCACGCUCGUGAAGGAGAAGCAACAGAGUUCAAAGAGCGGCCACAAGAAACAGAAAAACAAGGACAAAGAGUAUUAUGUGUAAAAAAGAAUACUUAUUUAUAUAUAAAUAUAUAAAUACUUAAUGAGAUUUAACUGAAAUAUCAGAACCAUUGCAGCGAACGAGAUUGGGAGAUAUCGUUUGUGGGAAAAAAGUAUUGGGAAAAAAAAAAUCAGCAGUGACUGUUAAUGUCUCAGUCAUCACUUGGAGUCAGCAAACUCUGCCCUAAUGUAUUAUAAAGCACACUUAGCGUUCUGGAGAUGGCGCAUACAGCUCUGCCCUGUUAGUGAACUCGGACGUCUCCAAAUCUCCUCCUCCGCUGAACUUCCUGCAAAGGUAGAAGACUUCAUGGCUUACUUGUUUCAUAUCUCCAAAAUCCGUCGUCUUGCAGUAAGUUGCUAACAACGCAGUGAAGUGUGUGAUGGGUGGUGAUGAAGAAAAUUGUCAUGGAAAGCUGGUCCCCUUGGAUCUGGCUCCAGUAUUUGCAAUUGAACUGAAGAAUAGAUGGUUUGGGGUCUGUUCUGAUCAGAAUCAUUGGCUUUAUUUGGGAAUAUCACUUAGUAUGCAUUAGCACAGCCAAACUAUGGUUAAAGGGAUUUGAAGAUUCAAAAAAGAAUGCUUAAAAAUGGUUAGCCAUUCUCAGCUGAAUAUACCAUGCAAAAAUAAAGGAGCCUUCCUCCAUGUUCUGGUUCUGUGACUGAUUGCAGUGCAUGCAAAAACAACAAUAAUAAAUCAGUUUAAUAAAGAUAUCAGAAAGACACAACUGGAGUUCAACUUGUGACAAGACACAUAAAAUGUCAGAAAAGCUAAACACUUGUAAAAGAAUGCAAAAAUGCAUAGUGCUUUUUUUGACAUGAAACUGUUUUUCAUAUGUAAUAUUUUAAUUUUGUAGCUUGACACUUCAGAUCAUCUCUGUCUUUCCAUUUGCCCUUUUCUCCCUUUUCCUUCUCUUUUAUAUAAAAGAAAAUAAAGCUGCUGUGACACACAAAAUAAUAAAGAAAAAGGAAUUUAAUAAUAUUAUAUAUAUAUAUACACACAGAUAUAUUUAUCAUGGUAUGUUUGAUGGGACGACUGGAACAGAAGUUCUGUUAUGGUCUUAAUGUGGAAUGAGAAUGUUCUUGAAGAACAAAGUAAAAAGAAACAGACAACAGAAGCAAACAAAAUGUGAAGAGAGUGUGUGUUUUAGCUUUGUCACAGUUAUCUGUGUCAAAAAAGAAAAAAAUCUGAAAUUUUGUUUACAUAUUUUACUACUAUUUUUUUUUGCAAGUAUAAUUUCUAUAUGGAUACUCUGAAGGUGUAUAUACUGUUUUAUGGUUAAAUUAGGAACAUCUUUUGUUUUUAUUUAUGUGAUUUAACUUGGUUGGUUGGUUUCCACAUUUUCCCAGUUACUGUGAAAAGGAUUAUCUUAUUGUACAGAACAAUAGCCAGGUGGUUUGAUGGCUAUGCCUGUCAUGUGCAAAAAAAAAAAAAAAAGGAAAUAAGGGAGAGAGAGACAGAGAGGAGAACAACAAAAGCCAAGAUGGAUUGAGAACUCUGGAAUAUCAGAAAUGUACACUUUUUCUGUAUACAGAUGAAAACUAAUCAGCUGUUUAGGUUUAGAAAUCUACUCUUGCUGGUGUUUAUAAGUCGCAUGAAUAUUUGACUUUGAAGAAGUGUCAUCAAAUACACACACGCACAUGGGAACUUAAAUUAAAAAAGAAAAACAGCCUUCUCAAACAUUUAGAGAAGACGCUUUCAUGUUAACAAAUAUUUUCAGUGUGUGUAUGUGUGUGUGUGUGGUGCGUGUGCGAGAGAUUGAGCUUUUUUUUCCUUUUUUAUUUUUUAUACUAAAAAGAAAAAAAAAAGACAGGUUUUAAAAAGGUAUGAAAGCACGAUUUUAGAUGACUUAACUGGCCGAAACUAUAUAAAGUUGAUUAUAUCUUGAUGUCUGUAAAAGAUUGCUGUUCUUGGAGUCUUGGAGUCUUGUGAAAUGAUUUCCUGCUUCCUUUCUUCCUUUCCUUUUUGCUUUACUUUUUAAGUUAAGGGGAAAAAAAAAUUACACUUUCCUUUUUUUGUGUAAGUUUCUAUUGGACAGUUUUUGGGAACAUGUGCAUUUCUGUAUGUGGGCUUCUACCAUAUCCCUGUUGCUUUAUGGACAACCGUAAGAAUUUUUGAGUUAUCGUGAUGUUAUUGCUUUUUUUUUUGCCCUUCUUUUUCUUCUUCCUUUUUGAUUCUUUUUCUUUUCUUAUUUGCAUUUUGUUUAAAGAUAUGCUUAGCAAUAAAAUGUUCUUCCCAAA